rnacentral:piRNA from 1 species
UGGAAUGUUUUAUGUUACUAUCUGCCU